AGUGAACGCUGGCGGUAGGCCUAACACAUGCAAGUCGAACGGCAGCGCAGUAAGAGCUUGCUCUUACGGGUGGCGAGUGGCGGACGGGUGAGGAAUACAUCGGAAUCUACUUUUUCGUGGGGGAUAACGUAGGGAAACUUACGCUAAUACCGCAUACGACCUACGGGUGAAAGCAGGGGAUCUUCGGACCUUGCGCGAUUGAAUGAGCCGAUGUCGGAUUAGCUAGUUGGCGGGGUAAAGGCCCACCAAGGCGACGAUCCGUAGCUGGUCUGAGAGGAUGAUCAGCCACACUGGAACUGAGACACGGUCCAGACUCCUACGGGAGGCAGCAGUGGGGAAUAUUGGACAAUGGGCGCAAGCCUGAUCCAGCCAUACCGCGUGGGUGGAGAAGGCCUUCGGGUUGUAAAGCCCUUUUGUUGGGAAAGAAAAGCAGCAGGUUAAUACCCCGCUGUUCUGACGGUACCCAAAGAAUAAGCACCGGCUAACUUCGUG
rnacentral:rRNA from 1 species